GACGAACGCUGGCGGCGUGCCUAAUACAUGCAAGUAGAACGCUGAAGAGAGGAGCUUGCUCUUCUUGGAUGAGUUGCGAACGGGUGAGUAACGCGUAGGUAACCUGCCUGGUAGCGGGGGAUAACUAUUGGAAACGAUAGCUAAUACCGCAUAAAAUGGAUUAUCGCAUGAUAAUCCAUUGAAAGGUGCAAAUGCAUCACUACCAGAUGGACCUGCGUUGUAUUAGCUAGUUGGUGGGGUAACGGCUCACCAAGGCGACGAUACAUAGCCGACCUGAGAGGGUGAUCGGCCACACUGGGACUGAGACACGGCCCAGACUCCUACGGGAGGAAGCAGUAGGGAAUCUUCGGCAAUGGACGGAAGUCUGACCGAGCAACGCCGCGUGAGUGAAGAAGGUUUUCGGAUCGUAAAGCUCUGUUGUAAGAGAAGAACGAGUGUGAGAGUGGAAAGUUCACACUGUGACGGUAUCUUACCAGAAAGGGACGGCUAACUACGUG
rnacentral:rRNA from 1 species